CUCAUAAAAACCAUAAAGUUAAGUAUCAAUUCUAGUCAUAUUUAUCUUCUUAAACCAGUGACUACACUUUGAUGGUAAUUCUUUUUUUCUUUCUCAUUGUAGUUUGUUGUCACUACCUUCUGAGUAAAACCUGCAGGAGAUGCCUCCAGGCACCAUUGGAAAAAUUUCAGGAGGACAGAAAUCUACAACUGAGUUACCACUACCAAGGUGUUUCCUGUCCAGUGUAUGGACUUCUACCUGAGUGAAUGGGAGGCAAGAAGAGGACUGGUGAGGAGGAGGGGCCUGCCACACUAAUUUCUCUCUCUGAGAAGGUUGAUUCCAAGGACAGUCAGAAGCUUAGUGGGCUGAGAGGAGGACCUGACCUUUAACAGGUUUACUCCUUCAAAAUUGGAGAGUCUGGCAUCAUGAAUUAAGUGAACCUAUGUCCAGUCACCUCAACAGAAAACUUGGUGUCCACAUUGGGCACUCCUUUGUGAGUGUUUUGCAGUUUUCAUCGUGGAGGAAUUGUCUAGCACAGUGUAAGUACUGAGAACUGAAGAGCAUCAUGGACAGAGACAGGACUUAUUAGUCAGCUUCAAGGUGAGAAGACAAGGUCGCAUCCCUUGCUUGGGAAGGCUGCAACACUUCAUGGAGAAACAGCCAUGCUGGACCUCACAAGGAUGCUCAGAAGCACACUGUCACCUUCUAGUGUUGGUGUAAGUAUUUGUCACAGUUUUCCACAUCUCUGCGCCUCAGAUGUUCAACAAACCCUCAUUGUCCUUAAACCAAUGUGCCUGCAGGACUGUGAUCCCUAGGAGGCUCUCUGAGAGCUCUGCUUCUCAGCUUUGCCAGCUCCCA